rnacentral:lncRNA from 1 species
UUUUUUUUUUUUUUUCCAUAUCUGCAUCCUUCUGGAAAUGUUUAUACAAUCCUCAGGGGAGGGAGUGAAAUGAAGUUGGAACAGGCCCAUCCUUGAGGGAAACAGGACCCAUCUGGAUGCUGAGGUGCCCUUGUCUCUACAACGUUGGUGGUAGCCAUGGGGGGAGGGAGGGAAGCCUGAAGAAGAAAUGGAAAGAUGACUCUAUUCCAGGUCUUGCAGACUUCAGGCUCUAAUCCCAGGCUGAACUAAACAAAUUCCUGGGGGAAUGUGCCCCCUCCACCACCAGACACACACACACCGCCAGGGGACUGAGCGAAAGAUGAGGAGGUGAUGGUCAGACUAGGAAUCGCCACCUUCGGGGGUCCUCAGAGACUCCUCUGGUCCACCCGGGGGCUUCACAGGAACUGUGACUCUCGUUCCCAUCAACAAAAUGGGAAGGGCCCUGAGAAGCCUAAGGACUGAGAGGCAGGGGCCCAGCUUGCUUCUGAAUUCCCACCUCUCAGGAAUCCCAGGCCUGCAAGGCUGGGCCUCCUUUUUCUUUCUUCCUUGGACUCUAAGAGGAGCUCCUAGAGAAAGGGCAUGUGCCUUCUGUGUUCUCCUGAAGACCAGGGCCGGAGACCUGCGAGGGAGGCUCUGCAGUUGUUUCUGCCGCUUCUCCAAAGAAUGACACCUGUUUCCUCUCUAUUCCCCUCCAAAAACCCUUUAGGACACGUGUGUGCAGGAGCACAGUUCCCGUCACAGCCGGCUUUCAAGAGCUAUGAGAAAAAGAGACCCUUCCAGUGAGGCCUCAUGCCCCCCCUGGCACAGGGGUCUGAGCCUUCCCUCAUCCCCGCUCCGGCCCUGUGGCACCAGGUUAGCAGGGUCCCCCUCUCCGGCCCAAGCGGGUCCUACACAGGGUGCAAAGGCCCUGGGGUCCUGAGGGCCAUCCAGGCCCGUGUGCACACAGAGGGAGCCAGAAAACCCUCCAUCAGAGGAGAGGUAAGGCCCCGGGCCAAGGACCUGGGACGUGAAGAUUUGGGGUGCUCUGCCCUGGGGCCAUCCCCAAACCAGCACGCCCCAGCGGUUUUGGUCCGGCGUGGACCCUCCUCCACCCCCAUUCAAACCAAGUCCCCUGGAACCCCGAGCAGUUGUGCUUGCGAAGUGCAGGCUGCAGCCUCCACAGCCCCCAGGCUGCUCAGCGCUGUCUGCAGGGCCAGGUUGGCCUGCUUUGGAGCGCAGCCCUGCUAAUAAAUCUCCAUCCUGAAGCCCUUGACUGCCUCCCCUGGGAAUUGAAGCGCAGUCUUUCCGAGCGCCCGCUGGCCGCCCCACUGCCUGCCAAGCUUCACACACAACCGCCCUGGCAGGGCCUUGCCUCCAGAGCCACGGCAGGCGGCCUUUCUAGAUUUGCCCUUCUUCCCAACCUUUCCCCCACCAGCCCCAACCCUCACCUCCCGUCUCCGGAGCACUCACAUUUCCAUUCCCAGCCAACGAGGCUUAAAUCCUCGGGGAGGUCAAAAAAACCUUUAGAGGGUUCGAAAGCAGCAGGGCUCUUAUCCCCUUGAACAUGGACAUGCCGAGGAGGAGCGAGAGCUCUGGUCCCAGAGCUUGGGAGACCAGGGUCCUCAGUUCCACCUCUAGCUCUGUGACCUCGGGAAGGUCAUGCACAUUUUGGCUUUCACAUCUGGGAAGAGGGCACUGCGGCUAAGGGAACUCCGAGCCCCGAGCUCUGACAUCCUGGCCGGUGGAACAGUUGUUUGGUUGUCUGAAUGUGCAUCACACAGCUCUGCCAGGGUAAAGCUCUGCAGAGCCUCCUGUCCCUACCUUCUCGCCGGCUCCCCUCUGCAGAGGCGCGGGGAGCAUAUCCUUGGGCUUGAUUCUGCUGUGGAGCUGGCCCAGCUCCAAGCUCUCUCAGCAGAAGUGCUCCCUUUGCCAGAGCCCCUCACUCUCACUCACAGCAAUUUACAUAGACGUGGACGUACUUUGCUUGUCCCCCACUAGCUCUUGAGAAGAGAAUUUAUGCAUGAAUUCAUGCAUGUGGUUGACACAUUUUACAUUAAAUGCCUCCCAUGUGCCUUGCUAGGUGCUUGGGGACUAUGAUAAGCAUAACAGCCAUGGUCCCAGCCUUCAGGGAGCUUACAGUCUAGAAAGACACAAGUGAAUCAAAUAGCCACACAAAUCUACCAGAACAAGUGUGGUAGGAGCUAUGAAGUGACACGUGGAAUGCCGUGAGUGUGUGAGGGGUCAGGGAAGCCUGAGCACUGUGGCCCUUGGGAGCUGAGCCCUCAGGGUGAGUCAGAUGAAUGGGAAGGGCAGGGGGAGAGCAUGAAGGGCCAGGAUGCACAGAGAUUCAGAGCCAGAGGGAGACCUGGCAAGGGGAAGGGGGGAAAAAGGGGGGAAAAAGGGGGGUGGGUGAGAAGCGUCUUGUUCACCUUUGUAUCAGGACCUCCAACUC